GUACAUUCAGACUAAUGCUCAGGUUGGUCGAGCCACACUCGGGUCUAGACAUCUAUUUUGUUGGAUGCACUUGAUGUUGUCAUGUUAAUGGUUGGAUAUAGUCAGGAUUUUCAGUGGAGGCGCCACACGCCUGCUGAAGGAAUGCUUGGGGCAAAAUUUGAUUAUUAAAAAUUGUUUGGAGAAAUAAUUGGUUGUAAACCUACCCAUGGAUGCACUAGGGUUGGCCGAGCCACACUC
rnacentral:lncRNA from 1 species